UACAAUCACACAAAAUAGAGAAGAGAAAGAAAAACAAACACAGGAUUUACGUGGUUCGGCUGAAAAGCCUACGUCCACGGGCAAGACACGAGAGAAAAAAUUCCACUAUGAUGAAAAGAGAGAUACAAUCACUCAAGAACUCUCCAAACCCUAGCCGCACUUUGAUUUCCCAAACCUCUCACAAAAAACUGCCGAGAUUGGCAGAAAAUACAAUAUUUAUACUGGUCCGUACCAAAAUAUUUCAUUCAGGUCGCAACGCGGGCUUUUCAGAUUGGGUCAUAAUUCGAGCCCAUAAAAGAUAUCCAAAAUUCAAGCCAC
rnacentral:lncRNA from 1 species